rnacentral:lncRNA from 1 species
UUAGCACCCAAGCAGGACCUGCUGAACCUGGGGCCCUAUAGGAGAGCACUGAUGGCCCACCCCUGAUUGUGGCCCUGGUCUUCAUGUCUGCAUCAGCCUCAGCCAUCUCAAGACCACAACAGGAACAUAGCCAAGUCAGAGAAGGAAGACCAAAAGCACCAGGGCCCUUCAUAUUAUUAAGCUGCUAAAUUAACUAAUCUUGGAAACUUCUAGACUCUACAAUUCUUGUUGUAUGAGUGGAUUGACAAUUAUUCUCUGGACUUUUUGGUAACCAAGAACUUCUAGCAACUAACCCUGGCAUGACCACCAGAAUCUGCAGGGCUGAGAGAAGAAAGAAAGGCAAAAGUGGAUGAAUGCAGCUGAAGAUGCUGUGGAACUCCUAUCACAUUCCAAGUGCUGUGUUGAUAUCUGGAGAUAUAGACAAGAUCGAAGCAGAUGCAGUCUUUCACAUGAAUAUUUGAAUCAGGCACAGGAUGCAGGUGAUGGGUAUUGGCCUCAGCUUUAGAGACCAGAGGUUAAAUCUCAGUGCUGCCUGCCACAAAACGAUCCAUGUAAGUCAAUAAACAAUGCUUUUUAAAAUAUUAUUAUAAAGAUAUAGUGUGUGGAUCCCUCUCAAUUGUCCAUUCUUCCCUGUCACAAAAAUUUGCCUGCUUUUCGUUACCAUGUGAGAGGCAAAUGAAUUGAACUAAAUGGUUUCUAAUGCCCUGUCCACCUCUAAAAUUCUAUAGAACUGUGAUUUGAUUCCAAUGGGCCAUAUCAGGACUCGGCAUUAUUUUCAUCAGUGAACCAUUUCAUUAGAAAUUUAUUUUUCCAAAUGAUAUUAGUAAAUAUUGAAGGAGGCUUCUCCCACAGAGCUUCUUGUACAAAUUAAAACAGGGCAGUAGAAGGUUUUCAGGUUGG